rnacentral:rRNA from 1 species
GACGAACGCUGGCGGCGUGCUUAACACAUGCAAGUCGAGCGGAAAGGCCUUUCGGGGUACUCGAGCGGCGAACGGGUGAGUAACACGUGAGUAACUGCCCCUAGCUCCGGGAUAGCUCCGGGAAACCGGAAUUAAUACCGGAUAUGAUCACGGCCGACAUCGGCCGUGAUGGAAAGAUUUAUCGGCCAGGGAUGGGCUCGCGGCCUAUCAGCUUGUUGGUGGGGUAACAGCCUACCAAGGCGACGACGGGUAGCCGGCCUGAGAGGGCGACCGGCCACACUGGGACUGAGACACGGCCCAGACUCCUACGGGAGGCAGCAGUGGGGAAUACUGCGCAAUGGGCGAAAGUCUGACGCAGCGACGCCGCGUGGGGGAUGAAGGCCUUCGGGUUGUAAACCCCUUUCGGCAGGGACGAAGCGAAAGUGACGGUACCUGCAGAAGAAGCGCCGGCUAACUACGUGCCAGCAGCCGCGGUAACACGUAGGGCGCAAGCGUUGUCCGGAAUCAUUGGGCGUAAAGAGCUCGUAGGCGGUCC